rnacentral:rRNA from 1 species
UUGAACGCUGGCGGCAGGCCUAACACAUGCAAGUCGAACGGUAACAGGAAGCAGCUUGCUGCUUUGCUGACGAGUGGCGGACGGGUGAGUAAUGUCUGGGAAACUGCCUGAUGGAGGGGGAUAACUACUGGAAACGGUAGCUAAUACCGCAUAACGUCGCAAGACCAAAGAGGGGGACCUUCGGGCCUCUUGCCAUCGGAUGUGCCCAGAUGGGAUUAGCUAGUAGGUGGGGUAACGGCUCACCUAGGCGACGAUCCCUAGCUGGUCUGAGAGGAUGACCAGCCACACUGGAACUGAGACACGGUCCAGACUCCUACGGGAGGCAGCAGUGGGGAAUAUUGCACAAUGGGCGCAAGCCUGAUGCAGCCAUGCCGCGUGUAUGAAGAAGGCCUUCGGGUUGUAAAGUACUUUCAGCGGGGAGGAAGGGAGUAAAGUUAAUACCUUUGCUCAUUGACGUUACCCGCAGAAGAGGCACCGGCUAACUCCGUG